rnacentral:tRNA from 1 species
GUGGGUGUAGUUUAACAAAAAUAUUAGAUUGUGAUUCUAAAGACAGGGGUUAAAGUCCCCCUACCCACC